rnacentral:tRNA from 1 species
AAUAAAGUGCCUGAUAAAAAGGAUUAUUCUGAUAGGAUAAAUUAUAUACUAAAAGUAUCUUUAUUU